rnacentral:rRNA from 1 species
AUCGUAACUCCUACGGGAGGCAGCAGUGGGGAAUUUUGGACAAUGGGCGAAAGCCUGAUCCAGCAAUGCCGCGUGCAGGAUGAAGGCCUUCGGGUUGUAAACUGCUUUUGUACGGAACGAAAAGUCCCGGGAUAACACCCCGGGACCAUGACGGUACCGUAAGAAUAAGCACCGGCUAACUACGUGCCAGCAGCCGCGGUAAUACUGAGGGUGCAAGCGUUAAUCGGAAUUACUGGGCGUAAAGCGUGCGCAGGCGGUUAUGUAAGACAGAUGUGAAAUCCCCGGGCUCAACCUGGGAACUGCAUUUGGGACUGCAUAGCUGGAGUACGGCAGAGGGGGAUGGAAUUCCGCGUGUAGCAGUGAAAUGCGUAGAUAUGCGGAGGAACACCGAUGGCGAAGGCAAUCCCCUGGGCCUGUACUGACGCUCAUGCACGAAAGCGUGGGGAGCAAACAGGAUUAGAAACCCCGGUAGUCCUAGAGC